rnacentral:rRNA from 1 species
AAAUUGAAGAGUUUGAUCAUGGCUCAGAUUGAACGCUGGCGGCAGGCCUAACACAUGCAAGUCGGGCGGUAACACGGGGAGCUUGCUCCCGGGUGACGAGCGGCGGACGGGUGAGUAAUGUCUGGGAAACUGCCUGAUGGAGGGGGAUAACUACUGGAAACGGUAGCUAAUACCGCAUAACGUCGCAAGACCAAAGAGGGGGACCUUCGGGCCUCUUGCCAUCAGAUGUGCCCAGAUGGGAUUAGCUAGUAGGUGGGGUAACGGCUCACCUAGGCGACGAUCCCUAGCUGGUCUGAGAGGAUGACCAGCCACACUGGAACUGAGACACGGUCCAGACUCCUACGGGAGGCAGCAGUGGGGAAUAUUGCACAAUGGGCGCAAGCCUGAUGCAGCCAUGCCGCGUGUAUGAAGAAGGCCUUCGGGUUGUAAAGUACUUUCAGCGGGGAGGAAGGUGUUGUGGUUAAUAACCACAGCAAUUGACGUUACCCGCAGAAGAAGCACCGGCUAACUCCGUGCCAGCAGCCGCGGUAAUACGGAGGGUGCAAGCGUUAAUCGGAAUUACUGGGCGUAAAGCGCACGCAGGCGGUCUGUCAAGUCGGAUGUGAAAUCCCCGGGCUCAACCUGGGAACUGCAUUCGAAACUGGCAGGCUAGAGUCUUGUAGAGGGGGGUAGAAUUCCAGGUGUAGCGGUGAAAUGCGUAGAGAUCUGGAGGAAUACCGGUGGCGAAGGCGGCCCCCUGGACAAAGACUGACGCUCAGGUGCGAAAGCGUGGGGAGCAAACAGGAUUAGAUACCCUGGUAGUCCACGCCGUAAACGAUGUCGACUUGGAGGUUGUGCCCUUGAGGCGUGGCUUCCGGAGCUAACGCGUUAAGUCGACCGCCUGGGGAGUACGGCCGCAAGGUUAAAACUCAAAUGAAUUGACGGGGGCCCGCACAAGCGGUGGAGCAUGUGGUUUAAUUCGAUGCAACGCGAAGAACCUUACCUACUCUUGACAUCCAGAGAACUUAGCAGAGAUGCUUUGGUGCCUUCGGGAACUCUGAGACAGGUGCUGCAUGGCUGUCGUCAGCUCGUGUUGUGAAAUGUUGGGUUAAGUCCCGCAACGAGCGCAACCCUUAUCCUUUGUUGCCAGCGGUUAGGCCGGGAACUCAAAGGAGACUGCCAGUGAUAAACUGGAGGAAGGUGGGGAUGACGUCAAGUCAUCAUGGCCCUUACGAGUAGGGCUACACACGUGCUACAAUGGCGCAUACAAAGAGAAGCGACCUCGCGAGAGCAAGCGGACCUCAUAAAGUGCGUCGUAGUCCGGAUUGGAGUCUGCAACUCGACUCCAUGAAGUCGGAAUCGCUAGUAAUCGUAGAUCAGAAUGCUACGGUGAAUACGUUCCCGGGCCUUGUACACACCGCCCGUCACACCAUGGGAGUGGGUUGCAAAAGAAGUAGGUAGCUUAACCUUCGGGAGGGCGCUUACCACUUUGUGAUUCAUGACUGGGGUGAAGUCGUAACAAGGUAACCGUAGGGGAACCUGCGGUUGGAUCACCUCCUUA